rnacentral:rRNA from 1 species
AACGAACGCUGGCGGCAGGCUUAACACAUGCAAGUCGAGCGCCCCGCAAGGGGAGCGGCAGACGGGUGAGUAACGCGUGGGAAUCUACCCAUCUCUACGGAAUAACGCAUGGAAACGUGUGCUAAUACCGUAUACGUCCUUCGGGAGAAAGAUUUAUCGGAGAUGGAUGAGCCCGCGUUGGAUUAGCUAGUUGGUGGGGUAAAGGCCUACCAAGGCGACGAUCCAUAGCUGGUCUGAGAGGAUGAUCAGCCACACUGGGACUGAGACACGGCCCAGACGCCUACGGGAGGCAGCAGUGGGGAAUAUUGGACAAUGGACGCAAGCCUGAUCCAGCCAUGCCGCGUGAGUGAUGAAGGCCCUAGGGUUGUAAAGCUCUUUCACCGGUGAAGAUAAUGACGGUAACCGGAGAAGAAGCCCCGGCUAACUUCGUGCCAGCCGCCGCGGUAAAAC